rnacentral:rRNA from 1 species
CAGCAGCCGCGGUAAUGCGUAGGUGGCGAGCGUUGUCCGGAAUUAUUGGGCGUAAAGGGCUCGCAGGCGGUUUCUUAAGUCUGAUGUGAAAGCCCCCGGCUCAACCGGGGAGGGUCAUUGGAAACUGGGAAACUUGAGUGCAGAAGAGGAGAGUGGAAUUCCACGUGUAGCGGUGAAAUGCGUAGAGAUGUGGAGGAACACCAGUGGCGAAGGCGACUCUCUGGUCUGUAACUGACGCUGAGGAGCGAAAGCGUGGGGAGCGAACAGGAUUAGAUACCCGGGUAGUCCCUGUCUCUUAUAC